ACACUGGGAUAGCCUUUCGAAAGAAAGAUUAAUACCGGAUGGCAUAGUCUUCCCGCAUGGGAUGACUAUUAAAGAAUUUCGGUUGUCGAUGGGGAUGCGUUCCAUUAGGCAGUUGGUGGGGUAACGGCCCACCAAACCUACGAUGGAUAGGGGUUCUGAGAGGAAGGUCCCCCACAUUGGAACUGAGACACGGUCCAAACUCCUACGGGAGGCAGCAGUGAGGAAUAUUGGUCAAUGGACGAGAGUCUGAACCAGCCAAGUAGCGUGAAGGAUGACUGCCCUAUGGGUUGUAAACUUCUUUUAUACGGGAAUAAAGUUAGCCACGUGUGGUUUUUUGUAUGUACCGUAUGAAUAAGGAUCGGCUAACUCCGUGCCAGCAGCCGCGGUAAUACGGAGGAUCCGAGCGUUAUCCGGAUUUAUUGGGUUUAAAGGGAGCGUAGGCGGGUUGUUAAGUCAGUUGUGAAAGUUUGCGGCUCAACCGUAAAAUUGCAGUUGAUACUGGCGACCUUGAGUGCAACAGAGGUAGGCGGAAUUCGUGGUGUAGCGGUGAAAUGCUUAGAUAUCACGAAGAACUCCGAUUGCGAAGGCAGCUUACUGGAUUGUAACUGACGCUGAUGCUCGAAAGUGUGGGUAUCAAACAGGAUUAGAUACCCUGGUAGUCCACACAGUAAACGA
rnacentral:rRNA from 1 species